rnacentral:rRNA from 1 species
AUACGGAGGAUCCGAGCGUUAUCCGGAUUUAUUGGGUUUAAAGGGAGCGUAGGUGGAUUGUUAAGUCAGUUGUGAAAGUUUGCGGCUCAACCGUAAAAUUGCAGUUGAAACUGGCAGUCUUGAGUACCGUAGAGGUGGGCGGAAUUCGUGGUGUAGCGGUGAAAUGCUUAGAUAUCACGAAGAACUCCGAUUGCGAAGGCAGCUCACUAGACUGUUACUGACACUGAUGCUCGAAAGUGUGGGUAUCAAACAGGAUUAGAUACCCUGGUAGUCCGCACAGUAAACGAUGAAUACUCGCUGUUUGCGAUACACUGUAAGCGGCCAAGCGAAAGCGUUAAGUAUUCCACCUGGGGAGUACGCCGGCAACGGUGAAACUCAAAUGAAUUGGCGGGG